CACGUAGGGCGCAAGCGUUGUCCGGAAUUAUUGGGCGUAAAGAGCUCGUAGGCGGUCUGUUGCGUCCGCUGUGAAAACCCGGGGCUUAACCCCUGGCUUGCAGUGGAUACGGACAGACUAGAGGUAGGUAGGGGAGAAUGGAAUUCCCGGUGUAGCGGUGAAAUGCGCAGAUAUCGGGAGGAACACCGGUGGCGAAGGCGGAUCUCUGGGCCGAUACUGACGCUGAGGAGCGAAAGCGUGGGGAGCGAACAGG
rnacentral:rRNA from 1 species